rnacentral:lncRNA from 1 species
AUUGAAAAUAAUUUUAGAAAAAAUAUGUGAAAAUUUGGGUUCUGGAGUAUUUUUGAAAAAAAAUCAGAAACUAGGGUUUAAAAUAUAAUUUAAAAAAGUUGUGCCACAUAGGAUGCCCAGUCAGCAGCCCCGAUGAACCAGAACGCAGCCGCGUGGCAAGAGACACUGACGCGGUGCCACGCGGGAGGGCAUGCGGUCGAUCCACGUGCCCACAAUCGGACGAUCCAAAUCCGCUCCGCGCGCACGAACUG